rnacentral:rRNA from 1 species
CGUAGGGGGCAAGCGUUGUCCGGAUUUACUGGGCGUAAAGAGCGUGUAGGCGGCCAAACAGGUCCGUUGUGAAAACUGGAGGCUUAACCUCCAGACGUCGACGGAAACCGUGUGGCUAGAGUCCGGAAGAGGAGAGUGGAAUUCCUGGUGUAGCGGUGAAAUGCGCAGAUAUCAGGAAGAACACCAAUGGCGAAGGCAGCUCUCUGGGACGGUACUGACGCUGAGACGCGAAAGCGUGGGGAGCGAACAGGAUUAGAUACCCUGGUAGUCCACGCCGUAAACGAUGGGUGCUAGGUGUGGGAGGUGUCGACUCCUUCCGUGCCGUAGCUAACGCAUUAAGCACCCCGCCUGGGGAGUACGGCCGCAAGGCUA